GUCUACGGCCAUACCACCCUAAACGCGCCUGAUCUCGUCUGAUCUCAGAACCUCAGGGUUGGGCCUGCUUAGUACUUAGAUGGGAGAAGUCUAGUUUUGAGAUG
ensembl:rRNA 5S_rRNA 5S ribosomal RNA